AGUGAACGCUGGCGGUAGGCCUAACACAUGCAAGUCGAACGGCAACACAGUAAGAGCUUGCUCUUACGGGUGGCGAGUGGCGGACGGGUGAGGAAUACAUCGGAAUCUACUUUUUCGUGGGGGAUAACGUAGGGAAACUUACGCUAAUACCGCAUACGACCUACGGGUGAAAGCAGGGGAUCUUCGCACCUUGCGCGAUUGAAUGAGCCGAUGUCGGAUUAGCUAGUUGGCGGGGUAAAGGCCCACCAAGGCGACGAUCCGUAGCUGGUCUGAGAGGCUGAUCACCCACACUGGAACUGAGACACGGUCCAGACUCCUACGGGAGGCAGCAGUGGGGAAUGUUGGACAAUGGGCGCAAGCCUGAUCCAGCCAUACCGCGUGGGUGAAGAAGGCCUUCGGGUUGUAAAGCCCUUUUGUUGGGAAAGAAAAGCAGCAGGUUAAUACGCCGCUGUUCUGACGGUACCCAAAGAAUAAGCACCGGCUAACUUCGUG
rnacentral:rRNA from 1 species